rnacentral:rRNA from 1 species
UACGUAGGUGACCAGCGUUGUCCGGAUUUACUGGGCGUAAAGAGCGCGCAGGCGGUCGUUCAAGUCGAGUGUGAAAGCCCCCGGCUCAACUGGGGAGGGUCAUUCGAUACUGAUGGACUCGAAGGCAGGAGAGGGAAGCGGAAUUCCCGGUGUAGUGGUGAAAUGCGUAGAUAUCGGGAGGAACACCAGUGGCGAAGGCGGCUUUCUGGCCUGUUCUUGACGCUGAGGCGCGAAAGCCAGGGGAGCGAACGGG